AUUAAUAACCAUUUAACCAUCGAAACCAGCCAAAGUUAGCGAUGGUUAUUUUUUAUUGCUUAAUUCAAUAAGCUUGAUUACUAG
rnacentral:snRNA from 1 species